rnacentral:lncRNA from 1 species
GAAGAAUUAGGAGUUGUAAGAGAAUAGGAGUCUUGAGUAGGAGUCCUAUUAGGAGUUGGUUAGAAGUAAGAGUCUUAAGUAGGAGUCCUAUUAGGAGUUAGGGUUUAGAAGCCCUAUAAAUAGCCAUGUAUUCCUCCUCUUUUCUCAAGGAAUAGAUGAAUCUUUUCUGCAGCCUUUGAGCAGCAACUUGGAGGGAGGAACCCCUAUAGAGUUCCAAGGAGGCCGA